UGUAAGCGUAUACCAAAGUUGUUGCAGUUAAAACGCUCGUAGUCGGAAUUUGGCAGUUCCGGAAGUGUGCACGUCGUGUGCGCACUUUGCGGGGACUGCUUUUGUGGUCUUGCGUAGGAUGAGGCACUUUCAUUAGUGAACGUCCUCACGCAACCACUCUUUACUGUGAGAAAAUCAGAGUGCUCAAAGCAGGCAUUUGCCGUGAAUGUAUUAGCAUGGAAUACUAGAAUAGGACUCGGUUCUAUUUUGUUGGUUUGUUGGGACUGAGUAAUGAUUAAGAGGGACAGUUGGGGGCAUUUGUAUUCCGGCGCUAGAGGUGAAAUUCUUAGAUUGCCGGAAGACAAACUGCUGCGAAAGCGUCUGCCAAGGAUGUUUUCAUUGA
rnacentral:rRNA from 1 species